GUGCUGUGUGAAAGGAGAGAAGGUUUGCACUCAGUCCCCUUGACAAGGACGGAAGAGGCCGUUGGACCUGACAACACACAUAUAGUUAAGGCACUGUCACCUACUUAGUGAUAUCUAACUACCGUAUUUA